UGGUGGAGUGAUUUGUCUGGUUAAUUCCGUUAACGAACGAGACCUUGACCUGCUAACUAGACAUGCUUAUGUCUCGUAGAGGUUUUUGGCGGUGCUGGAGGUGUUCUUUGAAUGCCAAAGGUCUGUCAUCCUUUGCGGGAAUCAACAUAGGCAGCAGAUCUUCUUAGAGGGACAAUCUGUGUUUCCAGCAGAUGGAAGUGCGAGGCGAUAACA
rnacentral:rRNA from 1 species